rnacentral:rRNA from 1 species
CUAAAGCUCCUUGCUUACACCGAGGUAAUAUCUGUUUAACUCAGAUCUCUUUGAGCCUAAAAUCUAGCCCAUAUAACCUUAUGUAACUAUGAACCUUCUGCUUCUUAACAAAACAUUUUUAUAUUUUAGUACAGGUGAUCAAAAAAUUUUUAAGCGCUUUAGAUAAAGUACCGCAAGGGAAUGAUGAAAUAAAAAUGAAACAAUUUUUAAGCCUAAUUUAGCAGAGACAAACCCUCGUACCUUUUGCAUCAUGGUCUAGCUAGUCUAACAAAGCAAAAAGAAAAUUAAAGUUUUCCAUCCCGAAACUAGACGAGCUACUUCAAAACAGCCAAUAGAGCCAACCCGUCUCUGUUGCAGAAGAGUGGGAAGAUUUUUAAGUAGCGGUGACAAACCUAACGAGUCUAGAGAUAGCUGGUUGUUCAGGAAAAGAGUUUUAGCUCUACCUUAAGUUUGUCUGUUACACCAACAACCAUAUUAAACUUAAGAGCUAUUCAAAUAAGGCACAGCUUAUUUGAGACAGGAUACAACCUAAAAAAUUGGGUAAACUAGGAUAAACCUAAUAAAGUGGGCCUAAAAGCAGCCAUCUUUAGAAAAGCGUUAAAGCUUAAUUAUUAAUAUCCAUAAUUUCAUCAACCCACUUGAACCCCUCAUUAUUACUGAACUAUUUUAUAUUUUAUAAAAACAAUUAUGCUAGAACUAGUAACAAGAAAUUGCUUUUCUCCUAAAUGUAAAUAUAAGCCAAAACGGACUACCCAUUGGCACUUACCGUAAAUGUCUAUGCUAUAACAACUUUUUCCAGAAAAACCUAUAGCUUAAAACGUUAACCUUACACCAGUACAUUAAAGGAAAGAUUAAAAGAGAAAGAAGGAACUCGGCAAAUUUUAGCCCCGCCUGUUUACCAAAAACAUCGCCUCUUGAGUUAUAUAAGAGGUCCAGCCUGCCCAGUGACAAAGUUCAACGGCCGCGGUACCCUAACCGUGCGAAGGUAGCAUAAUCACUUGUUCUUUAAAUAAGGACUAGUAUCAAAGGCAUCACGAGGGCCAUACUGUCUCCUUUCUCUUAUCAGUGAAACUGAUCUCCCCGUGAAGAAGCAGGGAUACAUUUAUAAGACGAGAAGACCCCAUGGAGCUUCAAGCAAUGUGUUCACCAUAUUUAUUUACCAACUUAACAGAAUGUCCUUAACACUAGCUUUGGGUUGGGGGGACCGCGGAGUAUAAUUUAACCUCCACGACAAACGGGCCACGCCCUUAUCCACGAGUUACAACUCUAAGAAUCAACAAACUGAUGUUUUAUGACCCGAUAAUUCGAUCAACGAACCAAGUUACCCUGGGGAUAACAGCGCAAUCUACUUCAAGAGCCCUUAUCGACAAGUAGGUUUACGACCUCGAUGUUGGAUCAGGGUAUCCCAGUGGUGCAGCCGCUAC